UCGGGAAUUUUGGGCAAUGGGCGAAAGCCUGACCCAGCAACGCCGCGUGAGGGAUGAAGGCCCUCGGGUCGUAAACCUCUGUCGGGAGGGAAGAACGGUAGCCCUUCGACCAGGUGGGCUGCCUGACGGUACCUCCAAAGGAAGGUCCGGGAAACAGCGUGCCAGCAGCCGCGGUAAUACGGAGGGACCAAGCGUUGUUCGGAAUCAUUGGGCGUAAAGCGCGUGUAGGCGGCUUGGCAAGUCGGGUGUGAAAUCCCGGGGCCCAGCCCCGGAACUGCACUCGAAACUGCCUCGCUAGAGUCCCGGAGAGGAAGGCGGAAUUCCCGGUGUAGAGGUGAAAUUCGUAGAUAUCGGGAGGAACACCAGUGGCGAAGGCGGCCUUCUGGACGGUGACUGACGCUGGGACGCGAAAGCGUGGGGAGCAAACAGGAUUAGAUACCCCGGUAGUCC
rnacentral:rRNA from 1 species